ACAGCAGUACCACGGGAAUACGAAGGGGGCUAGCGUUGCUCGGAAUGACUGGGCGUAAAGGGCGCGUAGGCGGCGGCCAAAGUCAGGCGUGAAAUUCCCGGGCUCAACCUGGGGGCUGCGUUUGAUACUUGGUUGCUUGAGUGGGGAAGAGGGUCGUGGAAUUCCCAGUGUAGAGGUGAAAUUCGUAGAUAUUGUGAAGAACACCGGUGGCGAAGGCGGCGACCUGGUCCUUUACUGACGCUGAGGCGCGAAAGCGUGGGGAGCAAACAGGAUUAGAUACCCCAGUAGUCCCUGUCUCUUAUACA
rnacentral:rRNA from 1 species